UUAUGACGUAUUAAAAAAAACUACUUACUAGAUCUCGUUCAAACUAAUUUUCGGUGGAAGUUUGCCUAAUGUACAUCAUAUAUUUUUUUUAGUUUUAUCAUUCUCUUAUUUUAGAAGUUCCAGGGGGGGACACACAUUUUACCACUUUGGAAGUGUCUCUCGCGCAAACUAUUCAGUUUAGAAAAAAAUGAUAUUAGAAACCUCAAUAUCAUUUUUGAAGACCUAUCCAUAGAUACCCCACACGUAUGGGUUUGAUGAAAAAAUUUGAGUAUCAGUUCUAAGUCUGGGGAACCCCCAAAAUUUAUAAUUUUUUUUUCUAUCUUUGUUUGAAAAUCUUAAUGCGGUUCACAGAAUACAUCUACUUACCAAGUUUCAACAGUAUACUCAAAGUACAUACAUACAUACAUAUAAUCACGCCUAUUUCCCGGAGGGGUAGACAGAGACCACGGAUUUCCACUUGCUACGAUCCUGACAUACCUCUUUCGCUUCCUUUACUUUCAUAACAUUCCUCAUACACGCUCGCCGGUUUAGGGUGCUCUUGACCUGGCCU